rnacentral:rRNA from 1 species
UAGGGAAUAUUGGGCAAUGGAAGGAAUUCUGACCCAGCCAUGCCGCGUGCAGGAUGAAUGCGCUAAGCGUUGUAAACUGCUUUUGUCAGGGAAGAAAAGAGGAGUGCGCUCCUAAUUGACGGUACCUGAUGAAUAAGCAUCGGCUAACUCCGUGCCAGCAGCCGCGGUAAUACGGAGGAUGCAAGCGUUGUCCGGAUUUAUUGGGUUUAAAGGGUGCGUAGGUGGUUUGAUAAGUCAGUGGUAAAAUUAAGCAGCUCAACUGUUUGUACGCCAUUGAUACUGUCAGACUUGAGACUUGUGGGGGUAAGCGGAAUUGGUAGUGUAGCGGUGAAAUGCAUAGAUACUACCAGGAAUAUCGAUAGCGAAGGCAGCUUACUACGGAAGUUCUGACACUGAGGCA